UCCUCUCCGCCGCAUCUCUGCACAGUGCAGCCGCCCCUUUCCGAUUUCCUUUGUGCUAGCCACCGAGAUUUCCCUCUGUGCUGCCACCACCUUCUCUGACUGUAGACCAGUGCUGAGCUUUAUGCUUGAUAGAUUGAUUGUGCGAAGCUGUGCCCUAGCCGGAUCUUGGAGAGGCGUGGAUUGUUGAGGAAAUCGAGUGGUGGAGUCUUCUUCCGGCAGCAACCCCCUAUGUUGAGGAAUCAAUGGAAAGUGGACUGUUGAUUUCCUCUAGACCUUACGGGAGGAAGAUUCCAGCAGGGAAGCUUGUUUCCAGUGGUGUUGUCUUGGUUCCGGCAACACUUCUUUGGCUGCGGAUCAAUAGCAGAGAUCUAUGAUUGAGGACUGUGACGCGAGAUGAGCAACUCGACGUUUGAUUUGGAUCGGAUACGACCCUUC